rnacentral:rRNA from 1 species
GAUGAACGCUGACAGAAUGCUUAACACAUGCAAGUCAACUUGAAUUUGGGUUUUUAACUUAGGUUUGGGUGGCGGACGGGUGAGUAACGCGUAAAGAACUUGCCUCACAGCUAGGGACAACAUUUGGAAACGAAUGCUAAUACCUAAUAUUAUGAUAAUAGGGCAUCCUAUAAUUAUGAAAGCUAUAAGCGCUGUGAGAGAGCUUUGCGUCCCAUUAGCUAGUUGGAGAGGUAACGGCUCACCAAGGCGAUGAUGGGUAGCCGGCCUGAGAGGGUGAUCGGCCACAAGGGGUCUGAGACACGGCCCUUACUCCUACGGGAGGCAGCAGUGGGGAAUAUUGGACAAUGGACCGAGAGUCUGAUCCAGCAAUUCUGUGUGCACGAUGAAGUUUUUCGGAAUGUAAAGUGCUUUCAGUUGGGAAGAAACAAAUGACGGUACCAACAGAAGAAGUGACGGCUAAAUACGUG